CUUAGAGUGGAGCGACGGCGGAAGAGAGCCCGAGGAGGGGCAUGCUGCCCGGGGCUGCGGCAGGAGGAGGCAGGCAGCGGUGCUGGGGAGCCAGCCGGUGUGCGCAGGUGGCACUGUUGAAGCCAAGAGUAAGAGUUGCCAGAAGUUAACAGAAAAUAAAAGAAAAUAAGAGUGAAGAAACUUGAUUAAG
rnacentral:lncRNA from 1 species